GUAAAUAAAGUUAAAAAUAGAACCGUUGAUGUUCUGGUGAGAAACAAAUGUUAGUGCAUUCGAUUGAAACAAUUUUGAGUUGAAAGCUGUAUCUCACUACAGGUAAAAGGUAAUCAGUUGCUAUAAAAAAGUACCAUUAAAAGUAGUAAAGGGAAAAUUUUUAGACAUCGAUCCUUCAGAAUGACUUCUCCGAAAUUCAUUUACGUAUCGCUAAUAAUGCUCCCCCUUAUCUUUGGCACAGUGCAUUCUAUUCGCUGCUACAACUGUUCUUCACACUCGGACCCCGCCUGUGCCGACAUAAAACCGUCAGAAAACUCGACACUUCUUCAAGAAUGCUCCCAACCGGACGCUUUCUGUCGCAAAACUCUACAAACCAUAGU